CACACCCUCAUUUUAUUUUUAUUAUUAGAAAGCGAGAACCUAACUUUGAGGUUACAAUGUUCACCAAAACUAAUAGGACUAAAAAAAUAUCUGAAUAAAAAAGAAUCAAAACUAACAGAAAAUAAUAAAAACAAAUUCACAAGGGUAAUUUUAUCAUAAAAACCAAUGCAAAAAGAGGAACUAGACAACUUCUUUAAUAGCUUUAAUCUUUAAUAUUAGAAAGCCAGCAAUCAACUUUGGUGUCUCAAGGUUUCACCAAAAAAUUCUAGACUAAAAUAACCCUCAAACAAAAAAAAAACAAAAACCGACACAAUAUAAUACAUUAAAAAACUCAUGGACAUUUUUGUCAGAAUACAAAAAUAUAAAAUUUGUUUUAUUAACAGAAAAAGAAAAAGAAACAGAUAACUCCUCCAUUUUAGGAGAGAGAACAACCAACGUGGGGAGAAAAAUCUUCAGGAUUAGCACGUUUAAUUUUCAAACUGCAUAGCAGUUUCCAUACAAGGAAACCAACCCACCCACGUCUAUCUUCUAUUCCCCCAUUUUCUGAUCAAACUUCUUCCUCACACAAUUCCACGUACAACUCUAUUCAUUCUGUUUUCUAACUGCAGCCUACCACUCCAUAUUCUCUCCUUCUUUCACUACUAUUUCUCUACAGGUUUCAGUUCUCACCCAUUUGCAUGCUAAGCAUGUACACAAAUCGGUAGAAAGAACUGCUUUGAAAUUCUUUCAGUUUUGGCAAGGCUACUUUUUCCAGAUCGAUGAACGUUUAUAUGCGCAUCGGGUAAGCUCCGGAAAAUUACCUCAAUUGGAUCUGCAAAUGGGAGGAAUACCUAACAGCAGCAGGUGAAGUUUUCUUUUUAUGUGCAGUUUUUAAGUUACUUAUGCAUUCUUUAUUUUUAUCUCUUUUGCCCAU